GAUGAACGCUAGCGGCAGGCCUAACACAUGCAAGUCGAGGGGUAGAGGAAGCUUGCUUCCUUGAGACCGGCGCACGGGUGCGUAACGCGUAUGCAAUCUACCUUUUACAGAGGGAUAGCCCAGAGAAAUUUGGAUUAAUACCUCAUAGUAUCUUUGCCUGGCAUCGGGUGAUUAUUAAAGUUCCAACGGUAAAAGAUGAGCAUGCGUCCUAUUAGCUAGAUGGUAAGGUAACGGCUUACCAUGGCAACGAUAGGUAGGGGUCCUGAGAGGGAGAUCCCCCACACUGGUACUGAGACACGGACCAGACUCCUACGGGAGGCAGCAGUGAGGAAUAUUGGACAAUGGGCGCAAGCCUGAUCCAGCCAUGCCGCGUGCAGGAAGACGGUCCUAUGGAUUGUAAACUGCUUUUGUACGGGAAGGAACACUCCUACGUGUAGGAGCUUGACGGUACCGUAAGAAUAAGGAUCGGCUAACUUCGUGCCAGCAGCCGCAGUAAUAC
rnacentral:rRNA from 1 species